rnacentral:tRNA from 1 species
AGCCGGGUCGUCUAGCGGCCCAGGAUGCGGGGCUUUGGCCCCCGAGACCGGGGUUCGAAUCCCCGCCCGGCUGCCA